UGUAAGCACUCGGGUUAGCUGCCUUUGUGGUCCUGUGCACUCUGUACACUAACAUUUACUUCUAGGAGGUGGGUGCUUUCCUUAGCUCUGUUUUACACCCUGUCCCACAGACCCUGAGUCUUGCUAAAGAUCAGGUUCAAGAUAGGACUCGAACCUGGUGAUGCACUUGGCCCUUAGGCUGCACUGUUUCUCUCCAUAGCGGCUGGC
rnacentral:lncRNA from 1 species